rnacentral:rRNA from 1 species
GUGUCAGCAGCCGCGGUAAUACAGAGGUCCCGAGCGUUGUUCGGAUUCAUUGGGCGUAAAGGGUGCGUAGGCGGCAUGGCAAGUCGGGUGUGAAAUCCCGGGGCUCAACCCCGGAACUGCACUCGAUACUGCCGUGCUUGAGUGUUGGAGAGGAGACUGGAAUUUACGGUGUAGCAGUGAAAUGCGUAGAUAUCGUAAGGAAGACCGGUGGCGAAGGCUAGUCUCUGGACAACUACUGACGCUGAGGCACGAAGGCCAGGGGAGCAAACGGGAUUAGAAACCCCUGUAGUCC